rnacentral:tRNA from 1 species
CGCCAGGUGACUGAAAGUAAGUAUAGAUCUUUUAAGUCUAGAAUAGUAUUUUACGCCUACUUCUGGUG